GCUCCCAUUGCGUAGUGGUCACUGCGCUCGCCUUGCACGCGGGAGACCCGGGUUCGAUUCCCGGCGGGGUCA
rnacentral:tRNA from 1 species